rnacentral:rRNA from 1 species
CGAGCAUUUUGAAUGAAGUUUUCGGAUGGAUUUUGAGAUGACUGAGUGGCGGACGGGUGAGUAACACGUGGAUAACCUGCCUCACACUGGGGGACAACAGUUAGAAAUGACUGCUAAUACCGCAUAAGCGCACAGUACCGCAUGGUACAGUGUGAAAAACUCCGGUGGUGUGAGAUGGAUCCGCGUCUGAUUAGCCAGUUGGCGGGGUAACGGCCCACCAAAGCGACGAUCAGUAGCCGACCUGAGAGGGUGACCGGCCACAUUGGGACUGAGACACGGCCCAAACUCCUACGGGAGGCAGCAGUGGGGAAUAUUGCACAAUGGGCGAAAGCCUGAUGCAGCGACGCCGCGUGAGUGAAGAAGUAUUUCGGUAUGUAAAGCUCUAUCAGCAGGGAAGAUAAUGACGGUACCUGACUAAGAAGCCCCGGCUAACUACGUGCCAGCAGCCGCGGUAAUACGUAGGGGGCAAGCGUUAUCCGGAUUUACUGGGUGUAAAGGGAGCGUAGACGGCAUGGCAAGUCUGAAGUGAAAACCCAGGGCUCAACCCUGGGACUGCUUUGGAAAC